rnacentral:rRNA from 1 species
CCGGCUGACGAGUGGCGCACGGGUGCGUAACGCGUAUACUAUCUACCUUGUACAGGGGUAUAGCCUUUAGAAAUGAAGAAUAAUCCCCCAUAAUAUCUUAUUAGUGGCAUCGUUAAAAGAUUAAAGCUUCGGUGGUAAGAGAUGAGUAUGCGUUCUAUUAGCUAGUAGGUGAGGUAACGGCUCACCUAGGCGACGAUAGAUAGGGGCCCUGAGAGGGGGAUCCCCCACACUGGUACUGAGACACGGACCAGACUCCUACGGGAGGCAGCAGUGAGGAAUAUUGGACAAUGGGCGCAAGCCUGAUCCAGCCAUGCCGCGUGCAGGAAGACUGCCCUAUGGGUUGUAAACUGCUUUUAUAUAGGAAGAAACCAUUCUACGUGUAGAGUGCUGACGGUACUAUAAGAAUAAGCAUCGGCUAACUCCGUGCCAGCAGCCGCGGUAAUACGGAGGAUGCAAGCGUUAUCCGGAAUCAUUGGGUUUAAAGGGUCCGUAAGUGGAUAGAUAAUUCAGAGGUGAAAUCCUGCAGCUCAACUGUAGAAUUGCCUUUGAAACUGUUUAUCUUGAAUUAUGGUGAAGUGGUUAGAAUAUGUAGUGUAGCGGUGAAAUGCAUAG